rnacentral:rRNA from 1 species
GACGAACGCUGGCGGCGUGCUUAACACAUGCAAGUCGAACGGAAAGGCCCUGCUUUUGUGGGGUGCUCGAGUGGCGAACGGGUGAGUAACACGUGAGUAACCUGCCCUUGACUUUGGGAUAACUUCAGGAAACUGGGGCUAAUACCGGAUAGGAGCUCCUGCUGCAUGGUGGGGGUUGGAAAGUUUCGGCGGUUGGGGAUGGACUCGCGGCUUAUCAGCUUGUUGGUGGGGUAGUGGCUUACCAAGGCUUUGACGGGUAGCCGGCCUGAGAGGGUGACCGGCAACAUUGGGACUGAGAUACGGACCAGACGCAUACGGGAGGAAGAAGUGGGGAAGAUUGCAAAAUGGGCGGAAGACUGAUGCAGCAACGACGCGUGCGGGAUGACGGCCUUCGGGUUGUAAACCGAUUUAGCAUGUGACGAAGCGUGAGUGACGGUAAUGGGUAAAGAAGCACCGGCGAACUAAGU